rnacentral:lncRNA from 1 species
AAUCUCACUCUAUCACUCAGGCUGGAGUGCAUUGGCACGAUCUUGGCUCAUUGCAACCUCUGCCUCCUGGGUUCAAGUAAUUCUCAUGCCUCAGCCACCCAACAUAGCUGGGAUUACAGAUGCCCUGGAAUACACUUGUGUCAGUGACAAAUGCUGCUUUGCUGUGCUACACCGAGUACAAGGUCGUGUCCAGUGAUUCAAGUUUGACACACCACACCACGGUGGAUGUGCCUUUCAUGACGCAUCUUCUCAGCAGCACUAGAAGAUACAUCCAAAGUCCUGUGAGCAAGGACACAGCGAGAAGAUGGCUGUCUA